rnacentral:rRNA from 1 species
AUACGGAGGAUGCGAGCGUUAUCCGGAUUUAUUGGGGUUAAAGGGAGCGUAGGUGGGAUAUUAAGUCAGCUGUGAAAGUUUGGGGCUCAACCUUAAAAUUGCAGUUGAUACUGGUUUCCUUGAGUACGGUACAGGUGGGCGGAAUUCGUGGUGUAGCGGUGAAAUGCUUAGAUAUCACGAAGAACUCCGAUCGCGAAGGCAGCUCACCGGGCCGGAACUGACACUGAUGCUCGAAAGUGCGGGUAUCAAACAGGAUUAGAUACCCUGGUAGUCCGCACAGUAAACGAUGAAUACUCGCUGUUUGCGAUACACGGUAAGCGGCCAAGCGAAAGCGUUAAGUAUUCCACCUGGGGAGUACGCCGGCAACGGUGAAACUCAAAGGAAUUGACGGGG